CACGAGCCCGAAGCCGUAUCCGGCGCGCGCCGCUCUCGGGUAGUUGCAGAUGGUUGUGGCUCGCUGAUGCCGCCUUGCAGCUCCACUUCAAUCUCAGCGCUUGAUGCUUUAAGCAACAAAAGCAAUGAGGAGAUGAGUUGGUUUCUGGCAUCAGGAAUCUUCAGGCUGGGCUCUGUGCUGUUACCUUGCAAGCAGGAAGAUGUCACGUGAAUUCUGACAGAAAUGACUUCCUCCGCUAACUUCAAGCUGUGUGUAGCCAACAGAAGACUGUUGAUUUCCAGAAGCAUGGGUUUAAGAAGGUUGAGAACAGUGUGAAAUGUGGAUUUCUAUUGCACUUGGAAAUGCUUUGCUGGCCCUUCCUUCUUCUCAGAAGCACUGUUUGAUUUGAAUGUGCUCUGGGUGAAGUCCUGUAACUUAUAAUACCAUGCUGAAAGGAAGAAGUUGAGUAAGAUGGAUUUAGAGUUUAGAUGAAAAUGUGAAUAAUGCUUGAAUGAAGUUCAAGUGAGAGUGGACUGAGAAGUAGCCCUUCAGGCACUGUUAGAACUUGGUAUGAAUAUUUAAGUGCAGUCAAAAUUUGAUUUCAGGGUUAAAACACAGGAAAAUUUGUUCUCUUGCCUAAAUUUAUUUUUAUAAUAAUGGUGGAAGCUGUUCUGCUCAUUUUCAAUGCAGUGUUUAUAUAAAUAAAAUCCUGGCUUUAUAUUUCCAA